rnacentral:rRNA from 1 species
GUGAACGCUGGCGGCGUGGUUAAGGCAUGCAAGUCGAACGAUCUCCAUUAGCAAUAGUGGAGGUAGUGGCAAACGGGUGAGUAACACAUUGGUAACCUACCCCAAAGACUGGAAUAACCCGAGGAAACUUGGGCUAAUACCGGAUGUGCUCCGAUGAUUAAUUCACCGGAGUAAAGCUCCGACGCUUUGGGAUGGACCUAUGUUUCAUCAGCUAGUUGGUAGGGUAACGGCCUACCAAGGCUACGACGAAUAGCGGGUGUGAGAGCAUGACCCGCCUCACUGGGACUGAGACACUGCCCAGACUCCUACGGGAGGCUGCAGUCGCGAAUCUUCCCCAAUGCACGAAAGUGUGAGGGAGCGACGCCGCGUGAUUGAUGAAGCCCUUCGGGGUGUAAAAAUCUUUUCUUUAAGACGAACUAAUGACUGUACUAAAGGAAUAAGGACCUGCUAAACUCGUGCCAGCAGCAGCGGUAAUACGAGUGGUCCAAGCGUUACCCGGAUUUAUUGGGUGUAAAGCGUAAGUAGGCGGUUUAUUAAGUCAACGGUAAAAACCUUCAGCUCAACUGGAGACCUGCCGUUGAUACUGGUAGACUAGAGACUGGAAGAGGUAAGCGGAAUUGCCGGUGUAGGGGUUAAAUCCGUUAAUAUCGGCAAGAACACCAACUGUGAAGACAGCUUACUAGGACAGUUCUGACGCUAAAUUACUAAAGCGUGGGGAGCGAAGCGGAUUAGAUACCCGCGUAGUCCACGCCCUAAACGAUGGAUACUAGACAUUGAGAGUAUCGACCCUCUCUGUGUCGUUUACAAAAGCUAACGCAUUAAGUAUCCCACCUGGGGAGUACGGCCGCAAGGCUAAAACUCAAAGGAAUUGACGGGGACUCGCACAAGCGGUGGAGCACGUGGUUUAAUUCGACAACAAGCGUGAAACCUCACCAAGGCUUGACAUGACGCUGCAAGCCCCGAGAAAUCGGGGCCGCCUACGAGGGUGCGUCACAGGUGCUGCAUGGUUGCCGUCAGCUCGUGUCGUGAGAUGUACGGUUAAGUCCGAUAACGAGCGCAACCCCUAUCCUAAUUUAUACUUUAUUAGGAAACUGCCUCGGAUAACGAGGAGGAAGGUGGGGAUGACGUCAAAUCAGCAUGGCUCUUACGCCUUGGGCAACACACAUGCUACAAUGGCCGGUACAAAGGGGCGCUAAACCGUAAGGUGGAGCAAAUCCCAUCAAAACCGGUCUCAGUUCGGAUUGAGGUCUGCAACUCGACCUCAUGAAGCUGGAAUCGCUAGUAACCGUGGAUCAUCACGCCACGGUGAAUACGUUCUCGAGUCUUGUACACACCGCCC